UUUCUUAACCUUGAUUCAGUAAUGGCGGGGGCCCGUUGCUCCCUCGCCUUUUUGGCGUUUCUGGGCGUGAUCUGUCGGGUCUCGGGUACGGAAGUGGAGUGCAAACAGCCGCCAUCUUCUGCCGAAUCCGUGUACAGUUUCACGGCUCCGGACAUUUACCAGACGAAGAACGUUUCCCUCUCCGAAUACCGGGGCAAGGUGUUGGUCAUCACCAACUUGGCCUCCUUCUGAGGUCUAACCCCCAUGCACUACUUCGGAUACAAUGCACUGAAACAGAAGUUUGCAGGGAAACAGUUCGAGGUCUUGGGAUUUCCUUGCAAUCAGUUCAACUUGCAAGAACCAGGCGAUACAGCGACAGAAAUCUUGAAUACCAUCAAGUAUGUGCGCCCUGGAAAUGGCUACGUGCCGAAUUUUCCGAUGUUUGCCAAAGUUGGUGUCAAUGGAGAAGAUGAACACCCUCUUUUUACUUAUUUGAAGAAAUAUUGUGGCCCAACAGCGGAUGAGUUCCAGGACGAUCUACAUUACAAACCCCUCCGCGUGAGUGACGUCAGAUGGAACUUUGAGCAAUUUGUCAUCAACCAGCAGGGUAAACCGGUCGUUCGUUUCUCACCGGAUGUUAAUCCACUCAAUCUCACAAUGGUGAUUUCUUCAUUAUUGCCUCACUCUGCCGUGGAUAACAUGAGUAACGAAAUACCAAUGGUAUAGACUACAAAGAACUCGGUUAACCGUAAAAUCUAUCGCAUUAUACCGAUGAAGAUCAUGGUUGACUUAUCAAUUUUGUACUAUUUGACUACUAUAACAUCAGAUGAAAAAUCUUUGAUAAAUGACUUGAUGUAAUUUCGGGAAAUUGUUCAUAGAAAUCGUUACUUGAUGAUUUCACCUCCGGAAACAGUGAAAUCUGUUGGAAGUGAAUAAUGGUUAAGUGACGUAUAUCACUUUGUGCAUUGUGUGAAAUACGUUCACUUAUACGUGACGAUUUCUAGAAAUUAACUCGAUAAUUUAUGUGUCAAAUAAAAGAUUUUUUAUCCAUUC
rnacentral:misc_RNA from 1 species